rnacentral:rRNA from 1 species
UACGUAGGUGGCAAGCGUUGUCCGGAAUUAUUGGGCGUAAAGAGCGUGUAGGCGGUCCGGUAAGUCCGCUGUGAAAGUCGGGGGCUCAACCCUCGAAUGCCGGUGGAUACUGUCGGGCUAGAGUGCGGAAGAGGCGAGUGGAAUUCCUGGUGUAGCGGUGAAAUGCGCAGAUAUCAGGAGGAACACCUAUUGCGAAGGCAGCUCGCUGGGACGUAACUGACGCUGAGACGCGAAAGCGUGGGGAGCAAACAGG